rnacentral:rRNA from 1 species
AGAACGAACGCUGGCGGCGUGGAUAAGACAUGCAAGUCGAGCGAGAUUUUUUCUUGUAGCAAUACAGGGAAAAGUCUAGCGGCGAACGGGUGCUUAACACGUGGGCAAUCUGCCGAGAAGUGGGGGAUAGCUCGCCGAAAGGCGAAUUAAUACCGCAUGUGAUUAGAGUGGACAUCCAUUCAAAAUCAAAGUCGGGGCAACCUGACGCUUCUUGAGGAGCCCGCGGCCUAUCAGCUAGUUGGUGAGGUAACGGCCCACCAAGGCGACGACGGGUA